rnacentral:rRNA from 1 species
GACGAACGCUGGCGGCGUGCUUAACACAUGCAAGUCGAACGGAAAGGCCCUGCUUGCAGGGUACUCGAGUGGCGAACGGGUGAGUAACACGUGGGUGAUCUGCCCUGCUCUUCGGGAUAAGCCUGGGAAACUGGGUCUAAUACCGGAUAUGACCUUCCAUGUAGUGUGGGGGGUGGAAAGAUUUAUCGGUGUGGGAUGAGCCCGCGGCCUAUCAGCUUGUUGGUGGGGUAAUGGCCUACCAAGGCGUCGACGGGUAGCCGGCCUGAGAGGGUGGACGGCCACAUUGGGACUGAGAUACGGCCCAGACUCCUACGGGAGGCAGCAGUGGGGAAUAUUGCACAAUGGGCGGAAGCCUGAUGCAGCGACGCCGCGUGGGGGAUGACGGCCCUCGGGUUGUAAACCUCUUUCGACAGGGACGAAGCUUCGGUGACGGUACCUGUAUAAGAAGCACCGGCUAACUACGUG